CUGACCCCCAGCCAGAGAUGACCCAACUUCGCCCCCUUCCUAGCGCCAACCUUUGCCAAGGCCAGUUUCUUCCGCAGAAACCAGUUCCUUAACGUCUCCCGCCUCUGGUUCCACUGUCCAGGCUUAUCUCCGCGGCCCUCAUAAAGGAGAACAGAAAAGGAGAACUUUCCUGCCAGGCUUCGGUUGCUAGGUGUCUGCGAAUCAGUGGGGUGAUCGGCUUUCAGAAGUUAUGAGGAAACCUAUUUCUCUUUCCGCUUUGCCCGUACACUUUCCUUCCACUUUUGCUGGUGCUGGGGGCGGGGCACGCUUUACAGCAAACCAGGAGAAAAAUCUGGAAAAGUGGCCCCCGGGGACCCCUUUCCCGACCCCUGUUUGUGGCUGAUG